rnacentral:rRNA from 1 species
UACGUAGGGGGCAAGCGUUGUCCGGAUUUAUUGGGCGUAAAGAGCGUGUAGGCGGCCUGGUAGGUCAGUUGUGAAAACUCGAGGCUCAACCUCGAGACGCCGAUUGAAACCAUCAGGCUAGAGUCCGGAAGAGGAGAGUGGAAUUCCCGGUGUAGCGGUGAAAUGCGCAGAUAUCGGGAAGAACACCCGUGGCUAAGGCGGCUCUCUAGUACGGUACUGACGCUGAGACGCGAAAAGCGUGGGGAGCGAACAGG